GACGAACUCUGGCGGCGUGCUUAACACAUGCCAGUCGAACGAAAAGAGGGAAAGAGCUUGCUCUUUCCGGAAUUGAGUGGCAAACGGGUGAGUAACACGUAAACAACCUGCCUUCAGGAUGGGGACAACAGACGGAAACGACUGCUAAUACCGAAUAAGUUCCAAGGGCCGCAUGGCCCAUGGAAGAAAAGGUGGCCUCUACCUGUAAGCUAUCGCCUGAAGAGGGGUUUGCGUCUGAUUAGCUGGUUGGAGGGGUAACGGCCCACCAAGGCGACGAUCAGUAGCCGGUCUGAGAGGAUGAACGGCCACACUGGAACUGAGACACGGUCCAGACUCCUACGGGAGGCAGCAGUGGGGAAUCUUCCGCAAUGGGCGAAAGCCUGACGGAGCAACGCCGCGUGAGUGAUGACGGCCUUCGGGUUGUAAAACUCUGUGAUCCGGGACGAAAAGGCAGAGUGCGAAGAACAAACUGCAUUGACGGUACCGGAAAAGCAAGCCACGGCUAACUACGUG
rnacentral:rRNA from 1 species